UUCUCAAGCCCAUGGAAACAGGAAGGUUGUUGAUAAAGAGAUUAAUAUUUUGCCAUUCUUGGCGCAGCUGGCUGGCUCAGAUGGUGAAACGUGCAUCUCUUGAUCUCAGAGUUGUACAUUUGAGCCCCACAUUGGGUGUAGAAAUUGCUUAAAAAUAAAAUGCUUAAAAAUUUAUAUUUGUCAUUUUUGAAAAGGCAACUUUGAAUCAAGCCAAUGUUGAGCCCUACGAAAAUAUGAAGACUCCGGAAGGUUGGCUUCAAAAUUAAUUUAUAUUCUUUGAACUUAUGUUGGCUACAUAGGAAGAGAAAGCCAAGAAUUUGCUGAAAGCUGAAGAAGUCCUGUUUGUGUACUGAUGUUGCCUUUGCAGCCUGGCCUGAAGUUGGGGCAUGUGAACAAGCCUACACAUUAAAUGUUGGAGAUAUAAAGGCUAAACCUGAGAUUCUGAAAAUAGCUGAGGACAAUAAAAAAAAAAAAAUUGAAGCAAGCCUGGAGCAAGGAAGAGGAGGAACAAAAAGAAUACUACUCACCAGGAGCAUACUGUAUUGAUGGACAUUUUAAGCACUGUCCAAUUGGUAGAAGAUAAGCAAGAUCAUAGGAAUAUAUGACAACACGAAGGCGAGCAGGGAGAGGAAGAUGAGAAUGAACAGUAGAAGAAUUUUGCAUAAGAUCCAAAGGACCACAUUGGAGUGGGGAGCAUCCACAUCCUUGAAAAGCUCUGUAAUGGCUGAUCACGGAGAAACCUCUCUUGAAAUGGAGCCUACAUGAGAGAGUACUGCUGAGAAGCGAAGAUUAAGAAUCGGGUCCUUGUUUGAGCUCUGGAUCAAGCCGCAUCUGAACCAGACACAGCCUAGACCAGUCCGUUAAAAGAAUCCUCCCCUCCUCUUCUUUCUCCUGCUAACCAAUUUGUGUUUCAUAUUAUGUUUAUUACAUCAAAAGCAUCAUAAUUGAUCUAAUAUUCUAAAAACAACCUCUUGUCAAAAAAAGGAAUCCCCUUUAUUCAAUAUAUAUUUAUUGAGUGCCUACUAUGUGUAGCCCUGUACCGGAAAUGUGAUGUUGAGCAAAAACUACUGUGUCCUUAAGUGCUUAAAUAGAAAUGAAUUGGUUUUUUUUUUUUAAGAUUUAUUUAUUUAUUUUGGAGAGGGAGAGAGAGAAAGAGAGAGAGAGAAAGAGAGAGAGAGAGAGAUGGGUUGGGAGAAUGGCAAAGGAAGGAGAGAGAGAAUCUCAAGCAGACUUCCUGCUGAUUGUGGAGCCUGUUGUCACAGCUUGAUCUCACGACCCGUGAGAUCAUGGCCCAAACCAAAACCAAGAGUUAGCCACUUAACUGAUUAUACCACCCAGGCUCCCCAUCAACUAAAAGUAUUUUUAAGAAUUUUUAUCCAAAUUUUCUUGGUGUUCUGAGGGAAGAGUUUUCAGUAUAUGUAAUCCACCAUACUACCAGAAAUAGUAACCCUUCAGUCUUUCUCAAUGAAAUUUUAUGUAACUUUUCUAUGAACCAUUCUAUUCUUUUUUUAAAAAAAGAUUUUAUUUAUUUAUUCAUGAUAGUCACACAGAGAGAGACAGAGAGGCAGAGACACAGGCAGAGGGAGAAGCAGGCUCCAUGCACCGGGAGCCCGACGUGGGAUUCGAUCCCGGGUCUCCAGGAUCGCGCCCUGGGCCAAAGGCAGGCGCCAAACCGCUGCGCCACCCAGGGAUCCCGAACCAUUCUAUUCUUAACUGUAACCAGCUAUGGUAUGAAGAUUAAGGAUUAAGAGGUUUUUCCCAAAACAUGCUCUAGCUUCUCUUGUAAAUUCUACAUGACCACCUGGGGCUCCGUGGUAGAAAAGCCUUUAUGCCACAAUAACACAGUAUCUAAUAUUUAUCUUUGAACUAAAGGCCCCUUAAGAGAGGGGCCUCCAGGGGCAUCUGGGUGGCUCAGUCAGUUAAGCGUCUGCCUUUGGCUCAGGUCAUGAUCCCAGGGUCCUGGGAUCAAGCCCCAUGUCCCAUGCCAGGCUCCCUGCUCAGUGUGGAGCCUGUUUCUCCCUCUCCCUCUGCCAGCUGCUCCCCCUGCUUGUGUUCAUUCUCUGUCUCUCUCUGUCAAAUAAAUAAAUAAAAUCUUAAAAAUAAAAAGAAUGGGGCCUCCUUAGGGUCUAAUGCAGGAACAUGCAGAGAGUAGAUGAGCAAUGCAUUUUCCUUGAACUAUGAGGACAGGAUUUAUUCAUUUACUUCAGUGCCGAGUUGGAAUUACAUUUCCCCUAACAGUAGGUUUGAGAUAGCUACCACAAGUACUUCGAUCUGUAGUGAGAGAUAGAGGAAUCAUUCUGGGAAGACAAAAAAAUAUACAUCAUUGGGAGGGCUGUCUUACACUCAAACACCAAUUAGGCAUAUUUCUAAUAGUAUCUGCCUAUGCUUUUAUGUGAACCCAAAGCAUGAAAGAAAUGAAAAGCCCAGUAUGCCACAUUAGCAAGAGUGUCCCCUUUGGACAGCUAAAUGGCCUUUCCUCAACAAGCGAACAAACAAGUCUGAGCUCAAAAACUUCAAAUGUUGUCAUUAUUAUUAAAUUCACAUUAUUUACAUAUAAAUGUUACUGAAUUAUCAUUAUUAUUUGAUCAACUUACUUUGUUAUUUAUAUUUAAUUAUUAUUCAGAAAAAUGAAAUAUCCAUGCCUACUGAAUGACCAGAAUCAAGCUUGGCAAUAAGAUUCAUACUUCAGCUUUGCUCCUAGGGAAGUGCCUGUUAAGCACUCUUUGAAUUUUGCAUCCAUUUCCUGGUUCUGAGUCUCACUGAACAAAUUUUUCCAAUCGCCAACUUCACCUGCAACACACACAAAAAACAGACCCAGACGUCUGUUAGAGUAUUUCUUCCUGAUUUUUUUUAA